GACGAACGCUGGCGGCGUGCUUAACACAUGCAAGUCGAACGGAAAGGCCCGGCUUUUGUGGGCUGCUCGAGUUGCGAACGGGUGAGUUACACGUGAGUAACCUGCCCUUGACUUUGGGAUAACUUCAGGCAACUGGGGCUAAUACCGGAUAGGAGCUCCUGCUGCAUGGUGGGGGUUGGAAAGUUUCGGCGGUUGGGGGUGGACUCGCGUCUUAUGAGCUUGUUGGUGUGGUAGUGUCUAACCAAGACCUGGACGGGUGGCCGGGCUGGGAGGGUGACCGGACACAUUGCACUGGAGAUGCGACACAGCCUACAACGGGAGGCAGGGGUGGAGAAUAGUGUACAGUAGGCGGAAGCAUGGUGUAGCACCGCCGCGUGCGGUAUGACGGGCUUCGCGUUGUAAUCCACUUCUGCCUUUGACGAAGUGUUAGUGACGGUAAUGGGUAAAGAAGCACCGGCUAACUACGUG
rnacentral:rRNA from 1 species